AACGCACAUUGCGCCCAUUAGUAUUCUAGUGGGCAUGCCUGUUCGAGCGUCAUUUUAACACUUAAGCCCUGUUGCUUAGCGUUGGGAGCAUACAGCACUGUAGCUCCUCAAAGUCAGUGGCGGGGUCUGUUCGACUCUAGGUGUAGUAAUCUACUCUCACCUCUGCGGUUGAUAGGGCCCUCGCCGUAAAGCGGCCAAAUAUACUGGUUGACCUCGGAUCAGGUAGGAAUACCCGCUGAACUUAA
rnacentral:misc_RNA from 1 species